rnacentral:lncRNA from 1 species
GAUAGAAAUCACUUACCUCAAUUAUAUUCCACUUAUGGCAGCAACCUCUCUCCACUCCAAAAAUGGCCACAAAUUUAAUUCAAAUUUAAUAGCAUCAAAUUUUAUACCACUACAAACUUAACUUUAAGGUGCUUAUAUUCAGAAAUUUCUACUAUUAAAUUAUUACCAAGCACUAAAAAAUACCUUUUCACACAUGAGGCACAUGAAACUACCAAGACAAUGAACCUCCUUCUAAUCUAAAACUCACUACAAAUCCAAAUAAAUUCCAAUUCAAACAUGUGAUAGCUUUUUGAAAAUUUCACAUCAAGAUACACAACUUCAAAAAGUCUCAACUUCAAAGAUAUAAUAUAUAAAAACUGAUUGAUGAAGAUUUGAAAGCAAAUCAAUAUCCAAUUCAAUAAUGAAAUUUUUGACUAUCUUAUAAAUUGAGAAAUAGAAAUGCUUUUAUUACAGCAAUAAGAAAGAAAUGAAAAAUAAUUAUCAAUUAUAAAGAAUUACUUUAAUUUUUUACUUAAUAAAACCAAGUAAGAUCAAUCACAACAAACAACUUCUCAUUCACACAUUCCAUUAGAAGCACCAUCUUACAACAAAUGUACUAGAAUGUGAGGAUAAGUUUCAUCCCUCAAUCCAAAUUACAUGAUGGCCUCAAUUAAGAAUUACUUGUAAUUGGUAGUAUGAAGUGAAAGAAAAAA